rnacentral:tRNA from 1 species
UCCCUGGUGAUCUAGUGGUUAGGAUUUGAUGUUUUCAUUGCCGUGGCCUGGGUUCAAUCCCUGGUCAGGGAA